rnacentral:rRNA from 1 species
UACGGAGGGUGCAAGCGUUAAUCGGAAUUACUGGGCGUAAAGCGCACGCAGGUGGCUGAGUCAGUCGGUUGUGAAAGCCCUGGGCUUAACCUGGGAAUUGCAGUCGAUACUACUCAGCUAGAGUAUGGGAGAGGGUAGUGGAAUUCCCGGUGUAGCGGUGAAAUGCGUAGAUAUCGGGAGGAACAUCAGUGGCGAAGGCGGCUACCUGGCCCAAUACUGACACUCAGGUGCGAAAGCGUGGGGAGCAAACAGG